GGAGGAGGGAGGGAAAAGCAGCGGGGAGGCUCCUCAGUAGCGGGCCUGAGGGGGUGUUUUCAUUCCGUUCAUGGAAUCCAAAAUGAUUCGGUUGGGAAGGGACCCCAAAACUCUCCAUUCCCACCCCUUGCCAUGGUCAGGGACACCUCCCACUAUCCCAGGUUGCUCCAGACCCGGUCCUUGGCCACUUCCAGGGAAUUAAGACAAGAUCUGAGCUUGUUUCAAACGAGGUUGGCUGCAGCAAUCCCAAAGAAACGCCUGGAAAUGAUGAAGAAAAACUCGAGAGGCAGCCACAGAGUUUGUGAGGAGAGCAGAGGGCAGCGUGGCAAAGGCUUGGCUAAAGAUCACCAAGUGAUUCCCAAAAGCUCAGAGGGGGAUUGGAUUCCUUCCCUCAACACCCACCUCAAGAAGGCACCUGCCACGGGCUGGACGUGGAGAAACGGGAUAAACGAUGGAAACCAGGGGAAAUUCUGGGAGAUCUGGUGCCUGCAGGGAGUUGGAAACGAGAGAAAAGCACCCAGAGGCAGUGAGGGGCUCUCACACAGAGCACAACCCCUGCACUUCCCAACAAUCCGGGAUUCCUUGGAUGCUGCAGCUCAGAACCUGCACGGAACGUACAGAACCGGGUCAAGAGCUCUCCACGGGGUUUUGUUCUGUGGAAGAUUUGGGCAAAAAGAAGGUGGAAAAAGGGGGAAAAAAGGAAAGGGGGCACCUGGAGUUGAACCAGGGACCUCUUGAUCUGCAGUCAAAUGCUCUCCCACUGAGCUAUACCCCCAUGGGGCACAAAAGGACAAUUAAAAACAUUUCCUGGGCAAGUCAGGAGCCUUUCUGUCCUGGAUUCCAUUCAGCCACACCUCCCUCUGCCCCUCCUGUGCCUGGGAAAAGGUGGGAAACUCCAGCAGUUCAGUGUGAAA